UUUUUUUUUAUUUUUGAAGUAGAAUGGAGAAUUAUCCUUACCUAGUUGACCAAGCUCUACUGAUAUGAUAGAUAUGCUGAUGUCUAACUUGGAGAUCUUGAUUAGGUUGGGAAAUGUAUCAGGUAGGUGGUUAUUCAUACAUAUCAUGAAACAAAUAUGUCAUCGAGAAAACAUUGAAAUUAGUCAUACAUGUAUGCUGUUGAGACAGUAACCAAACAACUGUUCAUAUAAUCAAAAUUAAAAACAAUUUGAUAGUAAUAUUUUAAAAAAUUACUUUAAAUGGCCUUAACAAUUACUAAGUAGAUGUAUUCAUGUAUGUUGUAGAAUUAUACUGAAAGUAUUUACUAGUUCAUUUGACUAGCAAAAAAAUGAUCAAUAUUUCAGGUUUUACAAAACAGACUAGACAAAUUGCAAGAUAGCAAUUAUGGAAGAGUCACAGUUGAAAAAACAUAAAAUCUAUGAAAACAGCUAACAGCUACUCAUAACAUUUUUUUUAAUCCUUUUGAUAUUUAAUUUGUUGUCUUUAUUUUAAACUACCAGUAAGCUUUAUAUAUUUAAAUAUGGAAACUCCAACAGCACACACUAAUUUCAACAAUUUUAUUUUUUGGUAUUUUGUGUUUUUUUUUCAGAUCAUGUAGAUGUAGAAGUAGAAGAAACAGCAGUGAAAAAGAAUGAGAGUCAUCAUUUUAAUAAACAUUUCGCUUGAAAUUGAAAUAAAUCUAUUUUUUUCUUCAUUAUGUAUUUCAAAUAUGAGCAUUGGGAUAAACCAGGCGCGUAGCUGCCUUUACGCAAAAAAUCAUUUGCUUGCACAUGUUUUUCACAAAAAAAAAUAAAAAAAUCCUGAAAUUGAAUUUCGGAUAGUCUUUAGUCUUUCCGGAUUAUCGUGUCUGGCGGUGUCUGUACUUGCAACUAUAAUCACGACACAAAGUUUAACCCCGGUAGAAAUCAAAAUAAAAAUGAAGAAACUAGAUUUUUAUUUUAGCAAGAAGGCAGCGGAUAACGAAAGCCAUCGAGUAGCCGUUCGAUUUCGUAUUCCCAUUGUCAUUUCGUCCAAAAGACUAUUGAUUCACCUAGGGUAUCUGUGUUACAAAUGACCUUCUACCGUUGUCGUAGAAACCUCUCAUUUGAUUUUAAAAUGACCCUCGUGAGAAACACCACGGGUGUCUUGCAAGAAGCAGGACCUGCUUACCUUCGGAGCACCGGAGGUCGCCACAUUUUUUCGGGGUCCGUGUUUUUCAUCUUUAGUUAG
rnacentral:lncRNA from 1 species